GACGAACGCUGGCGGCGUGCUUAACACGUGCAAGUCGAACGGAAAGGCCCUGCUUGCAGGGUACUCGAGUGGCGAACGGGUGAGUAACACGUGGGUGAUCUGCCCUGCACUUCGGGAUAAGCCUGGGAAACUGGGUCUAAUACCGGAUAGGAGCCAUUUUUAGUGUGAUGGUUGGAAAGUUUUUUCGGUGUAGGAUGAGCUCGCGGCCUAUCAGCUUGUUGGUGGGGUAAUGGCCUACCAAGGCGGCGACGGGUAGCCGGCCUGAGAGGGUGGACGGCCACAUUGGGACUGAGAUACGGCCCAGACUCCUACGGGAGGCAGCAGUGGGGAAUAUUGCACAAUGGGCGCAAGCCUGAUGCAGCGACGCCGCGUGGGGGAUGACGGCCUUCGGGUUGUAAACUCCUUUCGCUAGGGACGAAGCUUUUUGUGACGGUACCUAGAGAAGAAGCACCGGCUAACUACGUG
rnacentral:rRNA from 1 species